GAUGGCUAAGAGCAGCGACUUCGGAUUCAAUCAGCCUGAUUCCAGUUCCAGCAUUUCUGUUCCAGGAUUUUCUGGCCUUGAGGCCUUGGGCAAGGAUACAACUAGAGACAUGGUUAUAUCAUCAAGGCUUUGACUUGAAUGUCAUAUUUGAAAAUGAAACGUGUAAAGUCAGAUAUGACCAGACAGCUUUAAAGAACUAAAGACGCUUGGGCCAAAGUGACCUACGUUGCUUACAGAGCUGGUUCCAGACAGCCUGACCAGGUGGGGCACAGUGCUUUAACCUGGGCCAUCAAGUCUCCCUGUUUCUGUGAGGUAAGUGAUCCCCUUUUGACAAUUAAAGAAAAGCAAGCCAUUAGGAAUUGAUUUACAACAAAAACAGAACAAAGCAAC